UACGUAGGCAGCGAGCGUUGUUCGGAAUUACUGGGCGUAAAGAGUGUGUAGGCGGUGCUCUAAGUUUGGUGUGAAAUCUCCCGGCUCAACUGGGAGGGUGCAUCGAAAACUGGAGUGCUCGAGGGCGGGAGAGGUAAGCGGAAUUCCUGGUGUAGCGGUGAAAUGCGUAGAUAUCAGGAGGAACACCUGUGGUGUAGACAGCUUACUGGACCACUUCUGACGCUGAGACACGAAAGCGUGGGUAGCAAACAGG
rnacentral:rRNA from 1 species